rnacentral:RNase_P_RNA from 1 species
CGUGCAAGUCGUCUUGCCGCCGCGGUAGGCAACUAUCGGGGAGGAAAGUCCGGGCAACAAAGAGCACCAUACUUCCUAACGGGAAGGCCAGGGAUGGGUAACGAUCCAUGGACAGCUAGUGCCACAGAAAACAAACCACCUCAUUCGCUCGUGGAGCAUGCUUCACGAGUAGGAUAAGGAAAGGGUGAAAAGGUAGGGUAAGAGCCUACCGCCCCAACAGUGAUGAAGGGGGCAGGGCAAACCUUAUGGGUUGAAAGAUCAAAUAGGCCUCGAGCAAAGGGCGGCUCGUCCGAUUCUUUCUCUUCGGAGAAAAUUCCGAGGUGGGUAGAUCGAUGGAAUCUUGAUGCAAAUCAAGAUCUAGAUAAAUGGCAAGAUUCAGCAGCGAUUUCCGUUAAUAUCGGAGGGAGUUUCUGAAACAGAACCCGGCUUAUAGACUUGCACUUUUU